UACGGAGGGUGCAAGCGUUAUCCGGAUUCACUGGGCUUAAAGGGUGUGUAGGCGGGCAGUUAAGUCAGUGGUGAAAUCUCCGGGCUCAACCCGGAAACUGCCAUUGAUACUAUCUGUCUUGAAUAUCGUUGAGGUAGGCGGAAUAUAUCAUGUAGCGGUGAAAUGCAUAGAUAUGAUAUAGAACACCGAUUGCGAAGGCAGCUUGCUAAACGAUGAUUGACGCUGAGGCACGAAAGCGUGGGGAGCAAACAGG
rnacentral:rRNA from 1 species